rnacentral:rRNA from 1 species
AGCAGUAGCCGCGGGAAUACGAAGGGGGCUAGCGUUGCUCGGAAUUACUGGGCGUAAAGGGCGCGUAGGCGGACAGUUCAGUCGGGGGUGAAAGCCCGGGGCUCAACCUCGGAAUUGCCUUCGAUACUGGCUGUCUUGAGUAUGAGAGAGGUGUGUGGAACUCCGAGUGUAGAGGUGAAAUUCGUAGAUAUUCGGAAGAACACCAGUGGCGAAGGCGGCUCACUGGACUGGUAUUGACGCUGAGGUGCGAAAGCGUGGGGAGCAAACAGGAUUAGAUACCCCAGUAGUCCCUGUCUCUUAUAC